CAGGACAUUUCCUGAAACACCUGCACCUGCUCACAGUGCACCCGCUGCUCCAGCAGGAAUGGAUGUGAGCUUUGUCACUGCCCUGGCUGUGCUGGCGGCUGCAGUGAGCCUGGCAUCCCCAACUUUAUUUCCUGAGGCCUUUAACUGUUGCACAAAAAUUUCAGAAGAAAUUCCUAGAGGAAUUCUCCGAAGAGUGGAGAGAUUUGAAAUCCAGAAACAUGAUGGCCUGUGUCACCUACACGCUGUAAUUCUCCACAUAGAAGGCAGA